rnacentral:rRNA from 1 species
GAUGAACGCUAGCGGCAGGCCUAACACAUGCAAGUCGAGGGAGGAGCCUUCGGGCUUCGACCGGCGUACGGGUGCGUAACGCGUAUACAAUCUGCCUUUCACAUAGGGAUAGCCCGAAGAAAUUUGGAUUAAUACCUAAUGGUAUAUAGAUGUGGCAUCACCUUUAUAUUAAAGCUGAGGCGGUGAAAGAUGAGUAUGCGUUCUAUUAGCUAGUUGGAGAGGUAACGGCUCCCCAAGGCGACGAUAGAUAGGGGUUCUGAGAGGGAUAUCCCCCACACUGGUACUGAGAUACGGACCAGACUCCUACGGGAGGCAGCAGUGAGGAAGAUUGGACAAUGGUCGGAAGACUGAUCCAGCCAUGCCGCGUGCAGGAAGACGGCCUUAUGGGUUGUAAACUGCUUUUGCAGGGGAAGAAUAAGGACUACGCGUAGUUUGAUGACGGUACUCUGCGAAUAAGCAUCGGCUAACUCCGUG